rnacentral:rRNA from 1 species
CAAUAGCGUAUAUUAACGUUGUUGCAGUUAAAAAGCUCGUAGUUGGAUUUCUGGAGGUAGCGUCGGCCCGUAUUUACGAGUGCGUGACGUCUCUGUCCAUCCUUGCGGGAAGGCACGGCAUUGAUUUGUUGUGUCGGAUCGCAUCAUUUACUGUGAAAAAAUUAGAGUGUUCAAAGCAGGCUUUCGCUUGAAUACAUUAGCAUGGAAUAAUAAGAUAGGACUUUGGUGCUAUUUUGUUGGUUGAGCCUAAAGUAAUGAUUAAUAGGGAUAGUUGGGGGCACCUGUAUUGCGUUGUCAGAGGUGAAAUUCUUGGAUUUACGCAAGACAAACAGCUGCGAAAGCGUCUGCCAAGGAUGUUUUCAUUAA